rnacentral:piRNA from 1 species
UCCAGAUGCAGUCCAGUUGAUGACCAAA